AAGUCGUAACAAGGUUUCCGUAGGUGAACCUGCGGAAGGAUCAUUACUGAAAGAAACAAGGGUUUUGAGACUGCGCCGUGUGGCGUGUGCUCGACUCUUACUCUUUUCAUCCAUUCACACCUGUGCACUAAGGGACAUUGAGUUGUCCCCUUUUUAUUAUAAAUACCGAGUUAUAUGUAUGUCAUUUUGUAUAAAGUAUUAUAAAUACAACUUUCAACAACGGAUCUCUUGGCUUUC
rnacentral:misc_RNA from 1 species